rnacentral:rRNA from 1 species
CCUACGGGAGGCAGCAGUAGGGAAUCUUCCACAAUGGACGAAAGUCUGAUGGAGCAACGCCGCGUGAGCGAUGAAGGCCUUCGGGUCGUAAAGCUCUGUUGUUAGGGAAAGAACAAGUACCGGAGUUAACUGCCGGUACCUUGACGGUACCUAACCAGAAAGCCACGGCUAACUACGUGCCAGCAGCCGCGGUAAUACGUAGGUGGCAAGCGUUGUCCUGGAAUUAUUGGGCGUAAAGCGCGCGCAGGCGGUCCUUUAAGUCUGAUGUGAAAGCCCACGGCUCAACCGUGGAGGGUCAUUGGAAACUGGGGGACUUGAGUGCAGAAGAGGAAAGCGGAAUUCCACUGUGUAGCGGUGAAAUGCGUAGAGAUGUGGAGGAACACCAGUGGCGAAGGCGGACUUUCUGGUCUGUAUACUGACGCUGAGGCUGCGAAAGCGUGGGGAGCAAACAGGAUUAGAUACCCUGGUAGUCCACGCCGUAAACGAUGAGCUGCUAAGUGUUAGAGGGUCUUCCGCACCUUUAGUGCUGCAGCUAACGCAUUAAGCACUCCGCCUGGGGAGUACGGCCGCAAGGCUGAAACUCAAAGGAAUUGACGGGGGCCCGCACAAGCGGUGGAGCAUGUGGUUUAAUUUGAAGCAACGCGAAGAACCUUAC